ensembl:snRNA U6 U6 spliceosomal RNA
GUGCUGACUUAGGCAGCACAUACACAAAAAUUGUAACGAUACAGAGAAGAUUAGCAUGGCCCAUGAGCAAGGAUGCCACACAAAUUCAUGAAGCAUUCCAUAUUUGG